UUUAAAGAAAAAUCUCAUGGCUCCCGUUACGCAGGGAAUAUAGAGGGUCGUGCUCCUUCUUAUCCUGUGAACCAAAUAAGCAGAAAAUCAGUUGGCAAUCCGGUUGGUGAGAAUUAUCCUUUCAAGGUGAAGCUGAACUAAAAUGAAGAUAGGAUUGUUGGGAGUGGUGCACAGAACCCCUCCAACUACCGCACUCUCUCUUCGCCACGUUAGACCCAGGGUUAGAUGCUUCUCUUCUUCUGGCCAUGUGUCAUUUAUCAAGGAUGUAGCUGCAACUCAACCUCCUGAGCAUCUUCAUCACUUGCUCAAAGUCCUACAGACCAGAGGUGAAACCGUCAUUUCUCCUGGAUCCAGAAAAGGACUUAUCCCCCUUGUAAUUCCCCUUUCAGAAAAUCUGUCAGGUUCCAUAACAGCAUUGCUGCGGUGGCCAACAGCUCCACCUGGAAUGGAGAUGCCAGUUGUGGAAGUUCGCAAGCAUGGGGUCUGGCUUUUAGCCAAGAAUGUGGAUCAAUAUAUGCACAGGAUUCUGGUUGAAGAAGAUGCCAACAACUUCAGUGGUGGUAGACUCUAUGAUGCUUCUUCAGAAGCUGGUGAGAAAUUAUAUAGAAGGGGUGAUUUUGCUGAAUCUCAGAUUGCAAAUCUUGACCUGUAUAUUCUUAAAAAGGUUGGACUAUUCCCAGAUCUCUUAGAGCGCAAAGUUACGUGCCAUUUUGAGCAAGAGGACCACGUUUCAGCGAUGGUGACAGGAGAAUUUUAUACAAAAAAGGAUCUAUUUCCAGGAUUUGGACGGCCUUUUGUGUUCUAUGCAGAGGUUUUGAAGAAAGUUGGACGUAUCUCGGAAGCUAAAGAUGCUGCAAGGGUAGCUUUGAAAUCACCAUGGUGGACUCUAGGUUGCGCAUACGAGUAGCAAGCAUUGCGCAAUGGGAGGAUGAGCAAAUUGAAUAUAUCAAGGAGAAGAUAACUGACAAAGGUAGACAAGAAGAUUUGAAAAAGGGAAAGGCACUUGCACAGAUUGCAUUGGAUGAAGCUGCCUUUUUAAUGGAUUUAGCUUCUAUUGAAGGAACAUGGGGUGAAGUUACAGAGCGAAUUGCUGAAUGUUAUAAGGAGGCUGGAUUUGCUGAUAUUGCAAAGUUUAUACUGUAUGAAGAUUGAUAAUCAAUUGGAGGUGAGGACUAUGCUUCAUGGCUGGGAAGUCCCUACUAUUGUCUUCAUUCUUCGGUUUGUGUAUCUAUUGGUUCUUUUGGGCGUUCCUGUUGAGUUUUUGUAAUAUAGCUAUAUGAAAUUUGACACUUGGAUUCCUUUUUUUUUAAAAAAAAAAAAAGAAAGGAGCAACAGAAUAUUUUCUUGAAGUAUUGACAAGCUGAUUCUUGGUUUUGUGUUACAAAGAAAGGUGGUCUGGUUGAUGGAAUUA